GCUCCCCUCCUCUCUCCCAAUGAUGGCCGGCAACUACUCCCAAGCAAGUUCCCCAAUCCCAGUUGCGUGGGUCAGGCAUGUCGCAGUUCCUCGGUGCGCCUCCCCGGCGCCCCUAAUCCCAGCUUCUUUGAUUCUGUAGCUGCCAGCAAGGGAGAUGGCGCAGUCGCAGCGGAGUGCUGAACAAAUUUUGGUUGCAGGUGCUGAAUAAAUGCGGCUUCUUCAAGUGGCUUGAGGAAUACAAGUCAGUACUCGCUGCAAAGCAACAGCAACUCAGUGCAAAAGCUAAUCGCAAUAAUGUUCCAAAUUUGAUUGGUGUGGUAGUGCUGCUUGUAAAGUGAUGUAAGUUCUAAAAUUUUAGCAAUGUAGUAUCAGGUUCUUAAUGUAAGUGUGACUCUGUUUCAAUGAAGAUAAUGCUGUCAGAAAUUUGCAC
rnacentral:lncRNA from 1 species